CGACACUACGUGCACAGCACAGCUGGUGAUUCAGGGACAGAGAUGAGAGGUGCCCUCAGGAUAAAAUGAAGAGGAGGAAGUACAGGAAAGGAAGCACAUUUCUGCAACAAUAUGUUGAACUAUUGAUUGAAGUUCCAUACUGGUUUUCUUUUCUCUGCUUCUGCACCAUGAAGGAAUAGCUUUGAAAAACAAAGAUGUUACAAGAAGGGCAAGACACAAGAAAUAGAUCCAAAAGCAAAUAGAGAGGAAAGAAAUCAGCAUAUUUCUUUGCCAAAUACCACCACCAAAAGAAGACAACAAAAACAAUGCUACUGUAACAUGAUGAAUCUUCAUCUUCCUUCAGAUUAAAGAAACGG